CCUACGGGGGGCUGCAGUGGGGAAUAUUGCACAAUGGGCGCAAGCCUGAUGCAGCCAUGCCGCGUGUGUGAAGAAGGCCUUCGGGUUGUAAAGCACUUUCAGCGGGGAGGAAGGCGGUGAGGUUAAUAACCUCACCGAUUGACGUUACCCGCAGAAGAAGCACCGGCUAACUCCGUGCCAGCAGCCGCGGUAAUACGGAGGGUGCAAGCGUUAAUCGGAAUUACUGGGCGUAAAGCGCACGCAGGCGGUCUGUCAAGUCGGAUGUGAAAUCCCCGGGCUCAACCUGGGAACUGCAUUCGAAACUGGCAGGCUAGAGUCUUGUAGAGGGGGGUAGAAUUCCAGGUGUAGCGGUGAAAUGCGUAGAGAUCUGGAGGAAUACCGGUGGCGAAGGCGGCCCCCUGGACAAAGACUGACGCUCAGGUGCGAAAGCGUGGGGAGCAAACAGGAUUAGAUACCCUUGUAGUC
rnacentral:rRNA from 1 species